AUGGAGAGACUUGUUAAUGUUCAUUACAUUGACAAGGAGGCAUUCUUGAGUAACAAUGCCGGCACGGGUGAGGAACCAUUGGUUUUUGAUACAAGCCCUAGCUAUGAGGAUGUUGUUGCAAAAGUGAGACAAGUUUUGAAGUGGAUGGACACCAAUGUUGAUGUUAAGUUAAUAGGAAGGUAUGAUGUUGGAGUUGGAGCCAAAUCUCGCUUGAAAAGUAUGCCUAUCACCUCGGAUUUGCAUUGGGAUGUAUGCAAGGAAAAAGUAUCCCAAUCGGAAGACAAGUCACUUGAAUUGUUGGCCACCAAGGUUGAAUCUCCUCGGUUUACCUUUGAUUUGAACCGGCAUGUCUCUUUCCUAAUGGAUGACAUGAGCGAGAGGACAAUGGUGCCACUUGUUGAGCAUAGCGUUGUGGUUGAUGCCCCCAAUGUUUAUCCCCCACCACAUCCCCGUGUACCAUCUAUCAAAGCAAAUGAGGUUGAGUUGUAUGCCCCCAAUGCUUCUAGCCAACCACCAACUAGCCAAGCAAAUGAAGUUGAGGUGAUUGCUAGUGACGGAGUAAUUCAAGAGGAUGAAGAUGCUUAUGAUGACGACGAAGAGCAAGAGGAAGGGUUUCAUGGUAAUGAUGUUGGUGACUUGGAUGCGUACAUAGCGCAAAAGGACAUGGAUCGUGACUUGCCUUUUAGGCGUCAAUAUGCGUAUGACUCGGAUGACGAGGAUCCAGUUGAACAGUUGGACGAGGAUGGAUUCACAAAGGAGGAGAACCAAAUCCACUUUGAGCUGACGGGCUUACAAAAAAGAACUCACUUGUUUAAAGAUCUCAGCCUUGCCCAUAAAGCUGUUGUUGACGGUGGAAUGAGAAUGACGGCGAUUGAGCCAACACCAUGCCCGGAUCCAGGAGAACCAAGGGUGGAGAAUGAGGACGAGAAUGCUUAUUUGAAGAAAGGAGUGAAGUUUCUAAGCUUGCCUAUGCUGAAGUUUUGGUUGGCUGACUAUGCGAUUCGAAACCAUAGGCCAUUUUAUGUUGAGCACUCCAACAUGAAGUUGCGUUACACCGUGGUGUGUGAGCAAGACGGAUGCCCAUGA
rnacentral:rRNA from 1 species